rnacentral:lncRNA from 1 species
CAUUUGAUUAUUGAUGUAGAGUUGUUGACCUAUGAGAUGAUGUUGAACCUAUUUUAUUAUAUAAAUAAAGAAUUGUUAUGAAGAAAAGUUUGGAAGACAAUGUAAAAUAAAUUGUAGAAUACUUAUCAUGCAUGUAUCAAUAAAUUAGUUGUUAUUUUUAGUAGUUAAUCAUCCUUAUCAUGCAUGUAUAAAUAUCUUCAACCAUUUUUUUCUUUGAACUCUUGAAAUAACUACUUAUAACUUAACAUGUUUGAACACUGCUCUAAGUAAAUAUAAUCUCACAUUUUAGUGACAUUCAAUCUUGCAUCAUUACAUAAUCCUUCAACAUGCUUGUUUAAAUUCUUCAAUAUCAUUAUGUACAAUAAAUAGAUAAUAAUGUUCUUGAUCUAAAACAUGAUUAUAUCACCCCAUAUACGAACUUAAUACUUUACUCUUCAAACACAAACAAUUAGAAGGUAUAAGGAUGAUUACAACUUUUAAAUUUUAUAUUUAUCAAAAUAACAAUAAUAAUAAACAUAUAGAAGUUACUUACUUAUUAAAAUAGAAUAGAGAAUUGGUUAAGUCAAAGAAGACACCAUAAAAAUAAUUUUUAUAGUAUUAUGUAAUAUCAUAAUAAAAUUGAUCAUUUAGUUGAAAGUGUAUGAUGAAAUGCACUCCAUCACUCAUAGUUAUUGAAGGAAGAGCAAGUCCGAUCUGUAAAAUAUAAGUAAUCAAUCAUAGCCAUUCAAAGAUAGAAUGAAAAAUAUAAAUAAAAGUGUAAUUCUUAUAGGAUUUCAGGAUGUUUUGAUAGUAGCAUUCUUCAUAUUAUUUUUUACUUACUUUCCCAAUGUUAUAAAGAAGUAGGAGUGUUGACCUGCAAGAGAAGGGCGAGAUUUACCAGUUAGAAAAAGCAUAGGGUGAAAUGCAUUCUACCUUCUGAAAUUGAAGAGUGUAAGAUUUACAUGUUCAAAAAAACAUAUAUGUGAUUGAUUAUAAUAUAGAAUAAGGUUAAGUAUGUUAAAAAUAUUUAAAUAAAAAAUUGAAAAUGGUAAAAAUGUCACCUUAUUAGAAAAAAAAAUUGCUUAAGAAAAAUAUAUAAAAAACUAUACAUGUAGAAAAUUGUUUGGGUAAAAAAGCCCACAAAGUAAAUAUAGAUAUUGAGACUUUUUUAUGCACCAUAUUUUUUUGGGUUAUGUUUAUAAAUAUCAUAUAAAUUUAUAAGGUUUUUUAUCAUAUCUUUUGAAUAAUUAUGUUUUAUUUUAGAUUGAUGUUGAUUAUGUCUAAAUAUUUGAGUAUUCACGUGUACAAUAUUAGCAUAACUCUAAAAUCAUUGUGUUUUAUUUUAGAUUAAUACUCAUUAUAUUAUAUACUAUGGUUUUGUUGUUUUUAAUAUUAUGAAUUCAAACAAUCAUAAAUGCGUAUGUUUAAAAUUAAUUUUAAUAUCAACAAAUUUAAUGAAUCAAUAUUUACAUGUGUAAUAUUAUUAAUAUGAAGUUAUUAUUGUUAUUAUGCCUAUUACAUUUAUAUUUCCUAUUGUUAUUAUUGUUUACAUAGAAUUACAAACUAAAAAAUAUAUAAAAGUAUAAACAAAAAAAUUUAACAAUAUAAGUUUAACUAAAAUAUAGCAAAUGGCAAUAAAGUUUUUUUUUUGCAAUUUUCAUUUCCUUCUCAUCACUUAUUGUUUUUCUCUAUCAUUUGGUUUCAUGUCAUGAAUUUUUUCCCUCAAAACUCAUUCAGUAAUCUACGUAAUCUAGAGGUCUCAAAAAUCAACUGUAAAAAUAAGACAAAUAUGAUAAACAACAUAGAAGUUUUGAUAAAAUAUUCUACUUAACUUUAUUUAAUAAUUGAAAUCCAAAUUGAACACAUUUGUUAUUCAAAAAGAUAAACUUCAUCCCGCACCAGUAAAUUUCAUUAACUUGAGAUCAAUGCAACCAAUUAAAUCUUCUAGCUUUUUCCCUUCUCUUAUAAAUUAUGUUUAUAUAACAAAAAAUAACUUUCAAAUAUAUCAAUGUAUACAGUAGUACACAUAGUAAAUGAAUCAAAAUUGCAAAAUAAUAUUUAAGCAACAACUAAAUAGUAGACAGAGGCUUGAAAUGAAAGAAAAUAAAGGCAUGUUACACAUCUUCACAAACAAAUUACCCACAUAAUAAAACAAAUUAAAAAUGGACUAACCCAUGACUCUUUUGUUGUAGAUCUAAACAUGCAACAAACGAAAUUAAAUAUAAAAAGCAAAAGAAAUGAGAUUUAGGUUGAAAAUAGUAAAAUGUAAAAAUGAAAAGCAAAAAAAGAUGGAAGAUAAUGAAGAAUGGAUGGGGGGCAACCCGCAUGUCCAUCACAGACCCAGGUAAUAAGAGGGGGCUCUGGCCGUGGGCAGUCUUCAUCACAGGUUCCAAUGGGGAGCAAUCUGAUCCCUUAAUAGAAAUGACAAAAAAAUAUUACCUUGUUAGUAAAGAUUGUACUAAAAAACAACAAAUAGGUAAAGGUACCGGAGUUCAAUAUAACAUUUUGAAAUAGAUCCAUGUGGGGAAAAAUUACAUGAGUUUCAUCAUUCUCUUUGUUGCUCUUAACUCUCAAAGGUUGUUUGGAACCAUUCUUGUUUUGAUGAGGUCUAUGAGCUUAUAUUGUUUAGAGGAGAAGGGAAGAGAUGGAAAUGAAAGAAAGAUUGAAGAAAGAGAGUGGUGGAAGCCUAAGGAGUGGUGUGGUUGAAAGGACAAAAGUGAAAAUAUGGAAAGUGAAAAGUGAAUUGGAAUUUGA